GAUGAACGCUGACGGCGUGCCUAAUACAUGCAAGUCGAGCGAACGGACGAGAAGCUUGCUUCUCUGAUGUUAGUGGCGGACGGGUGAGUAACACGUGGAUAACCUACCUAUAAGACUGGGAUAACUUCGGGAAACCGGAGCUAAUACCGGAUAAUAUUUUGAACCGCAUGGUUCAAAAGUGAAAGACGGUCUUGCUGUCACUUAUAGAUGGAUCCGCGCUGCAUUAGCUAGUUGGUAAGGUAACGGCUUACCAAGGCAACGAUGCAUAGCCGACCUGAGAGGGUGAUCGGCCACACUGGAACUGAGACACGGUCCAGACUCCUACGGGAGGCAGCAGUAGGGAAUCUUCCGCAAUGGGCGAAAGCCUGACGGAGCAACGCCGCGUGAGUGAUGAAGGUCUUCGGAUCGUAAAACUCUGUUAUUAGGGAAGAACAUAUGUGUAAGUAACUGUGCACAUCUUGACGGUACCUAAUCAGAAAGCCACGGCUAACUACGUG
rnacentral:rRNA from 1 species